rnacentral:tRNA from 1 species
AUUUAUAUAGUUUAAAUAAAACACUACACUUUCAUUGUAAUAUUAAAUAUCAAUUAUUUUAUAAAUA